GAUGAACGCUGGCGGCGUGCUUAACACAUGCAAGUCGAACGAUGAAGCCCAGCUUGCUGGGUGGAUUAGUGGCGAACGGGUGAGUAACACGUGAGUAACCUGCCCUUAACUCUGGGAUAAGCCUGGAAACUGGGUCUAAUACCGGAUAGGAGCGUCCACCGCAUGGUGGGUGUUGGAAAGAUUUAUCGGUUUUGGAUGGACUCGCGGCCUAUCAGCUUGUUGGUGAGGUAAUGGCUCACCAAGGCGACGACGGGUAGCCGGCAUGAGAGGGUGACCGGCCACCCUGGGACUGAGACACGGCCCAGACUCCUACGGGAGGCAGCAGUGGGGAAUAUUGCACAAUGGGCGCAAGCCUGAUGCAGCGACGCCGCGUGAGGGAUGACGGCCUUCGGGUUGUAAACCUCUUUCAGUAGGGAAGAAGCGAAAGUGACGGUACCUGCAGAAGAAGCACCGGCUAACUACGUG
rnacentral:rRNA from 1 species